GAUUAACGCUAGCGGCAGGCCUAAUACAUGCAAGUUGAACGGGAUUUCGGGUAGCAAUAUCUGAAUGAGAGUGGCGCACGGGUGCGUAACACGUAUGCAAUCUACCUCUGACUGGGGAAUAGCCUUCCGAAAGGAAGAUUAAUACCGCAUAACAUAAUGAAGUGGCAUCACUUUAUUAUCAAAACUACCGGUGGUCAGAGAUGAGCAUGCGUCCGAUUAGCUAGUUGGCGAGGUAACGG
rnacentral:rRNA from 1 species